rnacentral:rRNA from 1 species
AUGAAGCGCAUCGUUAUUCCUGAACGGCAUGGAACGCUGCCUUCUCUGAUGCCUCCUAGGACGCUACCCAAUCCGCCAUUCUCGAGCUACCGCGUGCGCCAAGCCUGUUCGACCGCACGAUUCUUUUACUGUCGCUCAAUUCUCACCGCUGUCGCUGGGUCAGCCGUCAAUUCCUUUUUUACAAUUACAGCUGCUUCAGGAGUGGAUGACAGGUGGGGCUCGUUAGCCGUACGGUCGAGAGUACCAGCCCCACGUCCGGUUCCUCCUCCCCCACUCUCCACCCCCACGCUCCCCGUGCAGCCGCCGCCUCUCCCCAUCCUCCCAUCUCGCAGGAGCCGCCGCUCCCCGGUUCUUUCCCUGCCCUCUGAGGAGCCCCCAUCCCAUCCUCGCACCAGAGCUCGGUGGCAGCGGAGAAGAGGAUCGAUGGUGGGAGAGGAUGGGAGAUUGAGGAGAGAGAGAACCGAUGCAGAGGAGAGGGGAGACAAGGUGGGCAGAGGCCAGGCGUCGUCACCGGAGACGCGGAUCUGCGGCGUAGUGGGAGAGGUGACGCCGGCUGGUGAGCGACUCACCACCAGCUACUGUUUGGCGCGGGCAUGGAGAAGGAUUUUCUUGUGGCUCUCCAUUAGCAUGAUUCCCCUCGACCACCAUAUCAAUCUGGCUGCCUUCUGUACAUUUUUGGUCAUCACUAAAGCUUGUGGGGACCAUGGGAAGCUAAUGAAAAGGAAAUUCACAAUUCAUACAAAGGAAUGCCAUGCUUCCUGUUUUUACUCCACUCUUGGCCUGGAUCCAAAGCCCCCCUUCGGUUUUGGAUGUGCUCUCUUAGGGGUAAUGCUGCCAUUGCCAUGGUCCACCACACUCGGUGCUGCAAGGGGGAUUGCCUUCCUGCACGAAGCUGAGAAGCCCGUCAUCUACAGGGAUUUCAAGACAUCCAACAUAUUGCCCGAUGAGGAGUACAAUGCAAAGCUCUCUGACUUCAGCCUAGCGAAAGACUGGACCGGUUAUGGCAUUUGUGUUGACGCCUAUGCUUCCUUCAGUAUGAUCUAG